rnacentral:lncRNA from 1 species
GCAAACAGGGCACAUAGCGAAGCUGGAGUUCAAAAGGCGCCUUGAGAAAGACGCCGAGGCAAGGGAAGCCAUGUCUUUGUAGAAAAAGAGCGCCACCGAGUUCUUCGAGAGGUGGGCAACACAAAUUUUCACGGUUCAGUGAAAAUGUAGCUUGAUCGAUUUCUCGGGUUUGUUCUAGCAUCGUAUUCAGAAGUCUUGAUAGCUUAACUUUUGAUUCGAAGUAAAUUAUCCAAGCACUUCGGAAAUAAAAAUAACUUAAGUAGUGAAUUUUAUUUCUUUUUAAGCUUAGCCAAACAAAAUUAUAUGACCUUUUGAUGUUGGCAUUAGUCUUGGGUGAUACCGCUGGUGGAAUAUUUUCUUGAUACUGAAGCUCAGGAGAUUGCAUUUGAAAUUGCAUGAUUAAGGCCUCGGUUAGUGCUUUUUUUGUACGCCAUGUGAUUGUACUUUGCAUAGUUGCUUUUAUCAGGCUUAUUGUUAUUCAAUUGGACUGAACUGCGCUUUUAGUAUGAUGACCGGCCAUAACUUUUGGACUCGGAUACAGAAAUUAGACAUUAUAGUUCUAUUGAAGUUUGAAGACAUAUAACUGAAAUUAGGCAUGACAAAAUACUCGGUAAUACAUCUCCAAGAAAUAACAUAUAUGUCUACUGAUAAAUAAAAACAGAAUUUGUGGUAUUAUUAUUAGGGGCUUGUCAUGCCCGUCUGCAAAAGAUUGGAUGCUUAUUUAGUAUUGUGUUACGUUGUGUCAGGCACAUAUAUGGUGUGCUAAAUAAAGUGUCAGAGUACCGAAAGAAUGAAUUCCUUUGGGAAGAUUGUGAGAUGUGAUGUUGUAGUGGUGACAAUCUGUGCUGUGCUGUAGGGUCAUGUAACUUGUUUUAAGGUGAGUUGUUUCUACGUUACAUUCACAAUAAGAAGCCCAUUAUUAGCUGAAAAGGAUUAAAGGAGCCAAUAUAUAGGCUAUGUGUAAUUUUUAAGACACUCGAUCUUAACAAGAACCUAGUUUGGUUAUUUUUCUGACACCUGUUCUCCUCUCUCCCUCAAGCUUAAGGUAGCUGAUGGACAUGUUUUUAAAUAUCAGCAUGUGCAUAUUGAUGUCACCUUUUAAGACUCGAAUCUUGUGUACUUGGACCAAUUUUCAACGUGUUCAAGGAAAUUCACCUUGAUGAAGCUUAGCACUAGAAUGAUCAUGAAGGAUGAAUGGAAUCUAGAAGGGUAAGUAGGCUUUAAGAAAUCCAUACCUAUAUGUAAAGAAUCUUAAGAAUCUGGCCACCAAAAAAAUGAAUCUUUUAAGAAUCCAAUGAAUGUCCACAGGAAGUAAACGAGAUAUUUUUUUUUGAGAUGCUGAGGUUCACACACGAGAUAGAGUUGAAGAAAUCCCUCCUGAGGUAAAUAGCUUGAAGGUGUUGAGUAUAGUUUCAGAAAACCCUAAAAGACUAAAUAUUCAAACACCUCGCGAUGUAGCUCGAGAAAUCUAAUUGGCUAAGAAGUGGAUGCUUUAAAAAGAACUGAAGGAUCAACUUUCUGUAGCUAUAUAGAAACGAGGAACCCAAGUCGCAUUUUCUCUAAAUUACUUGUUACAAGAUGGAGACCUAAAAGAUUCACUUCAUUUCUUGUCCACUCUGCCACCUGUGAACCCUCUUAAUCAAGUGUAAAGGAAAUGGAGGUGAGUUAAGGAGAGGAGAUUUUCAUAGGCCUAGUUAUGCUAUACUAAGAAGGUGCAAUAAAGUUCUAAACUUCGAUUUUAAUGCACAUUCUCUUGAUUUUAUUUUAUUUUUUUAAAAAAAAUGAUGUUUUGUUAUUUGAAUCUAAAAUGUCCAUCCAAUUGUUAUGAGGCAGAGAAAUUUGUUCUCCGCAGAAGCCUAUGAUAAAAUGCAAGCAGAGCUCAGAAACGCGCGGAAGAACUUGAUGAAACUUUUGACGUUGGAUAGUGUCAAGAGUACUGUACACGACUUCUAUUGUCUCGUUACUUCAUAGUUUGUGUAAUGUUUCCUGAUUUU